AUUGAACGCUAGCGGGAUGCUUUACACAUGCAAGUCGAACGGCAGCGCGCACUUCGUUCUGGCUGCUCGUGGCGCACGGGUGUGUAAUGUAUCGGAACGUGCCCAGUAUCGCGGGAUAACUACUCGAGAGCGUAGCUAAUACCGCAUACGCCCUACGCGUGCAACCAGGUGAUCGUUAGACCUUUCCCUCUUUUGGCGGCCGAUUUCGGGCUUGCUAGUUUGUGAGGUAACGGCUUACCAAGGCGGCGAUUCGUAGCUGGAUUGAGAGGACGACCGGCCACAUUGGGAGUGAGACACGGCCCAGACGCCUACGGGAGGCAGCAGUGGGGAAUUUUGGACAAUGGGGGCAACCCUGAUACAGCCAGCCCGCGUGUGAGAUGAAGGCCUUCGGGUUGGAAAGAACUUUUGGGAGGAAAGAAACGUCGCGGGCUAAGACGCAGUGGAAGUGACGGUACCUGCAGAAUAAGCACCGGCUAACUACGUG
rnacentral:rRNA from 1 species